GACGAACGCUGGCGGCGUGCUUAACACAUGCUAUUCGAACGGAAAGGCCCUGCUUUUGUGGGGUGCUCGAGUGGCGAACGGGUGAGUAACACGUGAGUAACCUGCCCUUGACUUUGGGAUAACUUCAGGAAACUGGGGCUAAUACCGGAUAGGAGCUCCUGCUGCAUGGUGGGGGUUGGAAAGUUUCGGCGGCUGGGGAUGGACUCGCGGCUUAUCAGCUUGUUGGUGGGGUAGUGGCUUACCAAGGCUUUGACGGGUAGCCGGCCUGAGAGGGUGACCGGCCACAUUGGGACUGAGAUACGGCCCAGACUCCUACGGGAGGCAGCAGUGGGGAAUAUUGCACAAUGGGCGGAAGCCUGAUGCAGCAACGCCGCGUGCGGGAUGACGGCCUUCGGGUUGUAAACCGCUUUCGCCUGUGACGAAGCGUGAGUGACGGUAAUGGGUAAAGAAGCACCGGCUAACUACGUGCCAGCAGCCGCGGUGAUACGUAGGGUGCGAGCGUUGUCCGGAUUUAUUGGGCGUAAAGGGCUCGUAGGUGGUUGAUCGCGUCGGAAGUGUAAUCUUGGGGCUUAACCCUGAGCGUGCUUUCGAUACGGGUUGACUUGAGGAAGGUAGGGGAGAAUGGAAUUCCCGGUGGAGCGGUGGAAUGCGCAGAUAUCAGGAGGAACACCAGUGGCGAAGGCGGUUCUCUGGGCCUUUCCUGACGCUGAGGAGCGAAAGCGUGGGGAGCGAACAGGCUUAGAUACCCUGGUAGUCCACGCUGUAAACGGUGGGUACUAGGUGUGGGGUCCAUUCCACGGGUUCCGUGCCGUAGCUAACGCUUUAAGUACCCCGCCUGGGGAGUACGGCCGCAAGGCUAAAACUCAAAGGAAUUGACGGGGCCCCGCACAAGCGGCGGAGCAUGCGGAUUAAUUCGAUGCAACGCGUAGAACCUUACCUGGGUUUGACAUGGAUCGGGAGUGCUCAGAGAUGGGUGUGCCUCUUUUGGGGUCGGUUCACAGGUGGUGCAUGGCUGUCGUCAGCUCGUGUCGUGAGAUGUUGGGUUAAGUCCCGCAACGAGCGCAACCCUUGUUCACUGUUGCCAGCACGUUAUGGUGGGGACUCAGUGGAGACCGCCGGGGUCAACUCGGAGGAAGGUGGGGAUGACGUCAAGUCAUCAUGCCCCUUAUGUCCAGGGCUUCACGCAUGCUACAAUGGCUGGUACAGAGAGUGGCGAGCCUGUGAGGGUGAGCGAAUCUCGGAAAGCCGGUCUCAGUUCGGAUUGGGGUCUGCAACUCGACCUCAUGAAGUCGGAGUCGCUAGUAAUCGCAGAUCAGCAACGCUGCGGUGAAUACGUUCCCGGGGCU
rnacentral:rRNA from 1 species